UAAGGAAUAUUGGUCAAUGGACGCAAGCCUGAACCAGCCAUGCCGCGUGAAGGAUGAAGGUCCUCUGGAUUGUAAACUUCUUUUAUCUGGGACGAAAACGGGAUUUUUAUCUCAAUUGACGGUACCAGAGGAAUAAGCACCGGCUAACUCCGUGCCAGCAGCCGCGGUAAUACGGAGGGUGCGAGCGUUAUCCGGAUUUACUGGGUUUAAAGGGUGCGUAGGUGGGCUUAUAAGUCAGUGGUGAAAUCUCCGAGCUUAACUUGGAAACUGCCGUUGAUACUAUAGGUCUUGAAUUAUCUGGAGGUAAGCGGAAUAUGUCAUGUAGCGGUGAAAUGCUUAGAUAUGACAUAGAACACCAAUUGCGAAGGCAGCUUACUACAUAUAAAUUGACGCUGAGGCACGAAAGCGUGGGGAUCAAACA
rnacentral:rRNA from 1 species